AUUGAACGCUGGCGGCAGGCCUAACACAUGCAAGUCGAGCGGAUGAAGGGAGCUUGCUCCUGGAUUCAGCGGCGGACGGGUGAGUAAUGCCUAGGAAUCUGCCUGGUAGUGGGGGAUAACGUCCGGAAACGGGCGCUAAUACCGCAUACGUCCUGAGGGAGAAAGUGGGGGAUCUUCGGACCUCACGCUAUCAGAUGAGCCUAGGUCGGAUUAGCUAGUUGGUGGGGUAAAGGCCUACCAAGGCGACGAUCCGUAACUGGUCUGAGAGGAUGAUCAGUCACACUGGAACUGAGACACGGUCCAGACUCCUACGGGAGGCAGCAGUGGGGAAUAUUGGACAAUGGGCGAAAGCCUGAUCCAGCCAUGCCGCGUGUGUGAAGAAGGUCUUCGGAUUGUAAAGCACUUUAAGUUGGGAGGAAGGACAGUAAGUUAAAACCUUGCUGUUUUGACGUUACCAAAAGAAUAAGCACCGGCUAACUUCGUG
rnacentral:rRNA from 1 species